rnacentral:tRNA from 1 species
GGCAGUGUGGCUCAGUUGGUAGAGCAGCGGGGUCAUAAUCCGCAUGUCGGGGGUUCGAGUCCCUCCGCUGCUA